rnacentral:lncRNA from 1 species
GAUGCCCUAAGCUCUCGCUCCUCACUAUCUUUAUCUCCCGCACACUCGCCAUCUUUCCAACAACACUGUAAAGGUACCCUCUUUUUUCUCCGGCAACACCAAAGACCCCUCUCUUUUGAUCCGUCAGAAGGUUUCUAAGUAUACCCAUUACGAUCGCGACACCAUAGUAUAGUAGAGAUCUCGCUGCGGAGAAUAAUUCAGAAGAAACAAAAGACCCCCAUGUCUUUAAUGUUUUGAAUUAUACCCUAUAUGUUAUUAAUUGAUCAAACAAAUCCAUGAAUUUUCUAUUGGAUCAUUAAGAUACGGGCUUAUUUGAAACAAAAUGGAUUUAUUGGGUGUAACUUAUAAUUUGUUUUCUCGUUGCCUUCCAGUCGUUAGUGGAAAGGGUAGGGUAGACUGGAGUAGUUGUAUUGUACUCCUUCAAGUACACGCACGAUCUGAGUCGUUGGAUUGAAACCUAUUGACACGUGGAAGAUCGACAGGGAUUGGUUGGGUAUUGGUCGUGAUAGCGGAAAGCAAUGAGUAUCAUAAUAUGUCUCCUUCUGUGAAAGUCAUGCUUAUCUGUAUCAUCAUCAUUCAUCUCAUCUUUAAUAGUACUACUUUUGUGUCCGCGCCAAAUAUUUAAUUUAUUUAUUUGGCUUAGAUCAUUAUGCCGACCUGUAUAAUGCGGAUAAACUAUCUGAAAGUGUAUUAUCCCAC